rnacentral:rRNA from 1 species
UCCUACGGGAGGCAGCAGUGGGGAAUAUUGGGCAAUGGGCGCAAGCCUGACCCAGCAACGCCGCGUGAAGGAAGAAGGCUUUCGGGUUGUAAACUUCUUUUAUCAGGGACGAAGCAAGUGACGGUACCUGAUGAAUAAGCCACGGCUAACUACGUGCCAGCAGCCGCGGUAAUACGUAGGUGGCAAGCGUUAUCCGGAUUUAUUGGGUGUAAAGGGCGUGUAGGCGGGAUUGCCAGUCAGAUGGGAAAACCACGGGGUCAACCUGUGGCCUGCAUUUGAAACUGUAGUUCUUGAGGG